CGGUACGUACUGGUGUUACUGAUUUCUACCUUCUGACGAACCAUCAUGUCAUUAAUUUGGUGUGGUGGGGAAUCAGGACUGUUACUUUGAAAAAAUUAGAGUGUUUAAAGCAGGCUCGCGCUUGAAUACAUUAGCAUGGAAUAAUGAAAUAGGACGUUGAUCCUAUUUUGUUGGUUUCUAGGAUUGACGUAAUGAUUAAUAGGGAUAGUUGGGGGCAUUAGUAUUCAAUUGUCAGAGGUGAAAUUCUUGGAUUUAUUGAAGACUAACUACUGCGAAAGCAUUUGCCAAGGAUGUUCUCAUUAAUCAAGAACAAAGUUAGGGGAUCGAAGACGAUCAGAUACCGUCGUAGUCUUAACCAUAAACUAUGCCGACUAGGGAUCGGAUGAUGUUAUUUUUAAUGACUCAUUCGGCGCCUUACG
rnacentral:rRNA from 1 species